UCAUUGGUUUAUCCUUAUCAGUCCUCUCGUACUAAAUUUGGAGUUAUUAAUAGUUUGUUAUAUAGCAGAUAGGGACCAAACUGUCUCGCGACGUUCUAAACCCAGCUCACGUACCGCUUUAAUGAUAGAACAGAUCAACCCUUGGAAGAUUAUCCACAACCAGGAUGCGAUGAGCCGACAUCGAGGUGCCAAACAAUUUCGUCGAUAUGAACUCUAAAAAACUAUUAGCCUGUUAUCCCUAGCGUACCUUUUAUCUGAUUAUCGAUAUCUAAAAUAUUAGUUUAUCGGAUCACUAUAGCAGACAAAAAUCUAAUUUAAACAUAUCUGUUUAAAUUUUUAAUCAUAUUUAAUAUAUUAUAUACAAUCGAUCGUUACUCACCUCCGUUACUUUUUAGAAGACAACCGCCCCAGUUAAACUAGCAUUUUUAAACUAUAAAUAAUUUAAUAAACUAUGUUGGAGUUCUAAAAGACUCAGUAUACUGUUUAUCCCCGAAAACCAACAAAUUUAAAAUUCUAGUAAAGGUGCAUAGGGUCUUUCCGUCCCGCUAUAUAAAAAGGCAUUUUCACCUAAAAUUUGUGUUCAUCGAUUAUUAAUUGGAGACAGUGGGGCAGUCGUUACACCAUUCAUGCAGGACGACAAUUAAUCGCCAAGGAAUUUCGCUACCUUAGGACCGUCAGGAAUACGGCCGCCGUUUACUGGGAAUUAUAGAGAUUAACUUCUUUUUUUCUUACAGCACUGGGCAGGUGUCAGACUUUAUACAACAUUUUAUAUUUAGCAAAGUCCUGUGUUUUUAGUAAACAGUCGCCACCCCCAAUUUUAUAACUCUUUAUAUUAAUAAAGAACUCCUUAUCCCGAAGUUACAGAGUCAAUUUGCCGAAUUCCUUCAAUUAAUUUCAAUCGUAACUUUAGUAUUCUCUACUUAUCCACUAGUGUCAGUUUUUAUACAGUAGUAAGUUGAACAUUUCUUGAUUCAUGAGUUGUUACACUUUCUUUAAUAGAUAGCUACUUUCAGGCUUACUUUUUAGCGUUAAUAGAAUACAUUUGUUUAUUUUAAUGUAAUUUAAAAACUUUAAUAUUCGGUCUGGGCUGUUUCCCUUUUGACGUAUCGCCUUAACACGAAACGUCUGUCUUUUUUUAAAAAAAAAAGUAUUAUAAAUUACUAAACUUAAAGUUAAGCAAUAAAACCCCUUCUUUUCUUAUAAUUUAAAGCUGUACUUAAAUACAUUUCGCGGAGAACUAGCUAUAACUAAUCUUGAUUGGCCUUUCACCCCUAUUAAUAAUUCAUCUCAAAAUUUUGCAACAUUUACGAGUUCGGUCCUAGAUAUUAUCUCAACCUGAUCAUUAAUAGAUCGAUUAGCUUCGAGUCUAAUAGGUAUUAUUAAAUUGUUUAAAUACGCUAGAUAAGCUUACAAUACAUAUUAACUUGUUAAUCCAUUAUGCAAAAGGUAC
rnacentral:rRNA from 1 species